AUAGAGUUUCCGUGCGGCUAAUGUCAAAGUGAACAGUCUGUUCUUAUCAGAUUAUUAUCUGAUACGUCCUGUGUUGCAGGAUCAGAGCAUUAAACUCAUUUUUGCUCCCUGAUGCAGUGCUACAGGCUUGCUCCACCUCUGGCUGGAGGCAGGUUUGAACUGCCGUCCUCCUUUAGGUGAAUCCA